rnacentral:rRNA from 1 species
CUACGGGUUGCAGCAGUGGGGAAUAUUGGACAAUGGGGGAAACCCUGAUCCAGCAAUGCCGCGUGUGUGAAGAAGGCCUGCGGGUUGUAAAGCACUUUCGGUUGGGAGGACUGCUUCUAGCACUAAUAUUGUUGGAAGUUGACGUUACCUUCAGAAGAAGCACCGGCUAACUCCGUGCCAGCAGCCGCGGAAAUACGGAGGGUGCAAGCGUUAAUCGGAAUUACUGGGCGUAAAGCGCGCGUAGGCGGCUAGAUCAGUCGGGUGUGAAAGCCCCGGGCUUAACCUGGGAACUGCAUCCGAUACUGUCUAGCUUGAGUACAGGAGAGGAGAGUGGAAUUCCACAUGUAGCGGUGAUAUGCGUAGAUAUGUGGAGGAACACCAAUGGCGAAGGCAGCUCUCUGGCCUGAUACUGACGCUGAGGUGCGAAAGCGUGGGGAGCAAACAGGAUUAGAUACCCUUGUAGUC